ACAGGCCUGCACAGCAUGUUAUUAUUGUACUAAUACUGCAGGCAACUGUAACUCAAUGGUAUUUGUGUAUCUAAACAUAGCUAAACCUUAAAAAGGUAGAUUAAAAAUACUGUGUAAAAGAUCAAGUAUGUGCCGAAACCGGUUUGUAUGUGUGGCUUGAGGAGGUAGGGAAGGGUUGUGGAGGAAGAGAGAGUAGACAUUAGGAGGAGGGAGAAAAGAAGGGAUGAAUAGAAGAGAAGGGGAGAGCAGAAGCAGAUAUUGAAAGAGACACAGAUAAAACUUAAGAUGAGAAUAAAA